GUAGUCAUAUGCUUGUCUCAAAGAUUAAGCCAUGCAUGUCUAAGUAUAAGCACUCUUUUACUGUGAAACUGCGAAUGGCUCAUUAAAUCAGUUAUCGUUUAUUUGAUAGUACCCUACUACAUGGAUACCUGUGGUAAUUCUAGAGCUAAUACAUGCGCAAAACCCCGACUNGGAAGGGGUGUAUUUAUUAGAUAAAAAACCAAUGCCCUNCGGGGCUCCUUGGUGAUUCAUAAUAACUUCACGAAUCGCAUGGCCUUGCGCCGGCGAUGGUUCAUUCAAAUUUCUGCCCUAUCAACUUUCGAUGGUAGGAUAGUGGCCUACCAUGGUGGCAACGGGUAACGGGGAAUUAGGGUUCGAUUCCGGAGAGGGAGCCUGAGAAACGGCNACCACAUCCAAGGAAGGCAGCAGGCGCGCAAAUUACCCAAUUCCGAUACGGGGAGGUAGUGACAAUAAAUACUGAUACGGGGCUCUUUUGGGUCUUGUAAUUGGAAUGAGUACAAUUUAAAUCCCUUAACGAGGAACAAUUGGAGGGCAAGUCUGGUGCCAGCAGCC
rnacentral:rRNA from 1 species